rnacentral:rRNA from 1 species
GAGGAAUAUUGGUCAAUGGGCGCGAGCCUGAACCAGCCAAGUAGCGUGAAGGAUGAAGGUCCUAUGGAUUGUAAACUUCUUUUAUAGCAGAAUAAAGUGACCCACGUGUGGGUUUUUGUAUGUAUGCUAUGAAUAAGGAUCGGCUAACUCCGUGCCAGCAGCCGCGGUAAUACGGAGGAUCCGAGCGUUAUCCGGAUUUAUUGGGUUUAAAGGGUGCGUAGGCGGAAAGAUAAGUCAGCCUGUGAAAGUUUGCGGCUCAACCGUAAAAUUGCAGUUGAUACUGUUUUUCUUGAGUGUACAUAAGGUAGGCGGAAUUCGUGGUGUAGCGGUGAAAUGCUUAGAUAUCACGAAGAACUCCGAUUGCGAAGGCAGCUUACCGGGGUACAACUGACGCUGAUGCACGAAAGUGUGGGUAUCAAAC